AGUAGUUCCAGUCUCCUGGCAUAAUUAUGAGCUUUUUAGUGACGUUAUCGUUUUGGACGCUCGUUACCAAGGAAACGUCGUAGUCUACUCGAAGUGUGCAUCUUCUAUCGGUUGCGUUCAUUAAUUAUUAAUAUUGUCGUAUCAUGCAGUUUAUAGUUCAACUGUUAGUUGGGCUGAAUUACGGGGAUAAUUUUGAGAAUUUGUUCCUUAUUUCUUUCUUUGUCUUGUGAUAAGUUACGAAGAAUGAUGUGGUAAGGCUUGUUGAUUUGCCCAAUUGAAAAUCUUUCUCUACGCUCUUCUAUGCUGACGAUUCGACACCGCAAACAGAACAUGAUGCAGUGCGGGAAGGACUGUCUUUGUUAAACAAACGUGGGGGUGAUAAAAAAGUUAAAGUUGAUGUAUUCGAUAUGUCAGCAUCAUGCAUACUGCUGUUGAUCAAAUUAUCAUCAAGCACUCCGCGGAACCAGAAGGGAUGGCGAAGAAAGAGCAGGCGAUAAAAGCGGAAAUUGAUCCAGAUUUCGAGGAAAAAUCCUGUUGCUGUUUGAAAAGAACUUUCAUUGUGAGAAAAUGGUUUAUCCAUUUAGUACAUUGGCCAUAUCCUUUAGAAAUAUAGACUUCCAUGAAAUCAACUAUUGUAAGUUCUUUGAAUUUUAUUUGUUUGUAGCACUAUAAAUAAACUUUCUAUAACUAAUAAAGACGAGGAAGAAUGGCGCCAGUUUUCAACAGUUUUUUUGAAGAACUACCCAAUUGUCAUUCCUCAUGACAAACACCCUUUCAGCGCCAUAUUUAAAUUUGUAGCCAACGCCAAGAUAUGCCAUGUUUUACAGUACAAAUAAUGCCCAACCUCAGAAAUUUGAGGAAUAGGCAGGACAAGCAGGCAACUUUUGAUGGUACAAAAUAAAAGUACAAAAUAAAACGGAUUCCGAGAAUAGACAUCUCGGUUUCUUGAUAUUAAAGAUAAAGCG